rnacentral:rRNA from 1 species
UACAGAGGGGGCAAGCGUUGUUCGGAAUUACUGGGCGUAAAGGGCGCGUAGGCGGCCGCCUAAGUCAGACGUGAAAUCCCUCGGCUCAACCGGGGAACUGCGUCUGAUACUGGAUGGCUUGAAUCCGGGAGAGGGAUGCAGAAUUCCAGGUGUAGCGGUGAAAUGCGUAGAUAUCUGGAGGAAUACCGGUGGCGAAGGCGGCAUCCUGGACCGGCAUUGACGCUGAGUGAGCGAAAGCCAGGGGAGCAAACGGG